rnacentral:rRNA from 1 species
AUUGAACGCUGGCGGCAGGCCUAACACAUGCAAGUCGAACGAGUGGCGGACGGGUGAGUAAUGUCUGGGAAACUGCCUGAUGGAGGGGGAUAACUACGGGAAACGGUAGCUAAUACCGCAUACCAUCAGAUGUGCCCAGAUGGGAUUAGCUUGUUGGUGGGGUAACGGCUCACCAAGGGGACGAUCCCUAGCUGGUCUGAGAGGAUGACCAGCCACACUGGAACUGAGACACUGUCCAGACUCCUACGUGAGACAGCAAUGGGAAAUCUUCCACAAUGGUCGCAAGCCUGAUGCAGCCAUGCCGCGUGUAUGAAGAAUGCCUUCGGGUUGUAAAGUACUUUCAGCGGUGAGGCGUUACCCGCCGAAGAAGCACCGGCUAACUCCGUGCCAGCAGCCGCGUAAUUC